UACGUAGGCAGCGAGCGUUGUUCGGAGUUACUGGGCGUAAAGAGCGCGCAGGCGGUCGUUCAAGUCGCGUGUGAAAGCCCCCGGCUCAACUGGGGAGGGUCACGCGAUACUGAUCGACUCGAAGGCAGGAGAGGGUAGUGGAAUUCCCGGUGUAGUGGUGAAAUGCGUAGAUAUCGGGAGGAACACCAGUGGCGAAGGCGACUACCUGGCCUGUUUCUUGACGCUGAGGCGCGAAAGCUAGGGGAGCAAACGGG
rnacentral:rRNA from 1 species